rnacentral:rRNA from 1 species
UGGAGCAUGUGGUUAAUUCGAAGCAACGCGAAGAACCUUACCAGGUCUUGACAUCCCGAUGCUAUUUCUAGAGAUAGAAAGUUACUUCGGUACAUCGGUGACAGGUGGUGCAUGGUUGUCGUCAGCUCGUGUCGUGAGAUGUUGGGUUAAGUCCCGCAACGAGCGCAACCCCUAUUGUUAGUUGCCAUCAUUCAGUUGGGCACUCUAGCGAGACUGCCGGUAAUAAACCGGAGGAAGGUGGGGAUGACGUCAAAUCAUCAUGCCCCUUAUGACCUGGGCUACACACGUGCUACAAUGGGCGGUACAAAGGGUAGCGAUGCCGCGAGGUGAAGCCAAUCCCAAAAAGCCGUCCACAGUUCGGAUUGGAGUCUGCAACUCGACUCCAUGAAGCCGGAAUCGCUAGUAAUCGCGGAUCAGCAUGCCGCGGUCGAAUACGUUCCCGGGCCUU